GCGGCUGUGGCUCAGUUGGUAGAGUGUGAAGCACUUGUGAAGCCCUGGGUUCAAUCCUCAGCACCACAUAAAAAUAAAAUAAAGGUACUGUGUCCAUCUACUAAAAAGAUGUUAAAAAAAAAAAAGAACCCAAGGUACUUAUAGAAGAACAAAGCAAAUUCCUUUAAGUUUUAUCUAAAUAUAACAGAAAAUUUAAAAAAUUGUAUACAUGUUUACAUAGUAUUUUUAAAACUGGAAGACAUUUCAGUUUUAUGUUCCUAAAUUUAUUUUUAACUUGCUCGAUGUUAUUUUAAAGUGAGCAUUUUAUCUUGUAUUUUAAGAUUUGUUGGUAGGGGGAGUAUUUUAAACCUUUAGUCUUCCAAAGGUCAUUGUUUUUUCUUUUCAUAUAUUUAAAAACAUUAAGGUAGAUAUUAUGUUUUGUUGCUUGGGAUGUAUGAUGUUCAAAAUUGAAUACAGAGAAUUAUUUUAAGAAUCCUGUCCCCAAAUCAAAAUGUCCUUAAAGUGCCCUGAAAGUUAUUCUAAUAUCAAUUACAGUAAAUGUUGGUGUUUUGUACUGAUAGUACAUGGACUAUUAAAAUGAAGGAGUUUUAAUCUGAAUUAUUGAAGAACUGUACAACUUUGAAUUUAAAACCAUUUAAAAAUUUCUGCCUUAAUUUUAGUCAUCUUCAGUUAUGCCAUAUGACCUAUUUGGGUUUGUAACUGGCAAAGUAAGUAACACAAAGCAUGGAACAGUUUGUCUUUAUAAUACUUUGAGUGAGAAAGGCAGGUGAUCUCGACCUUUUUAUAAUAUGACUAGAAAUAGUUUAUACUGUAUAGGCUGAUGCUGCUUCUUUAAACUGUUGGUUCAAUAUAAUGUGAGAAAGCUUCAGCAGAACAGACUGGACAUUUGAGAAUCAACUUUCCGUUCCUCAAAAUUUCAAAAUCCUAGGAGGAACAAAUGUUAGGAUGGUGGGGGAACAUGAA
rnacentral:lncRNA from 1 species